UCGAACGGUGACGACGGGGCUUGCCCUGUCUGAUCAGUGGCGAACGGGUGAGUAACACGUGAGUAACCUGCCCUUGACUCUGGGAUAACCGCGGGAAACGGCGGCUAAUACCGGAUAUGAGACGUACAGGCAUCUGUUGCGUCUGGAAAGAUUUAUCGGUCAAGGAUGGGCUCGCGGCCUAUCAGCUUGUUGGUGGGGUGAUGGCCUACCAAGGCGACGACGGGUAGCCGGCCUGAGAGGGCGACCGGCCACACUGGGACUGAGACACGGCCCAGACUCCUACGGGAGGCAGCAGUGGGGAAUAUUGCACAAUGGGCGCAAGCCUGAUGCAGCGACGCCGCGUGAGGGAUGAAGGCCUUCGGGUUGUAAACCUCUUUCAGCAGGGAAGAAGCGAAAGUGACGGUACCUGCAGAAGAAGCGCCGGCUAACUACGUGC
rnacentral:rRNA from 1 species